rnacentral:rRNA from 1 species
AGAGGGCGUGAAACCGUUUAGAAGGAAACGAGAAGCGUCGCGGAUUGCCUUUGAAAUUCAGCUGUUACUGUUGCUUUGUGGCGGUACCGGUGCAUUUUUCAUUGGUGUGCACUGAAUCUUGUGCAGUCGGUGUGAUCGCUUUCCUGACGGGACUCGUCUAGGCGAUGUUUUUCGGGUCUGUUGUUACACUGGCUGUACAUGGUGGCAUUCCUCCGGUUCAGUUUCGGAUGAACUAUCCUGCCUGUCUAUCAUUCGGCUGCAUGCCGUACCUGGGCUGGCUUGGGUUGUGAGUUCGUUCUCUGACUAGAUGCUAUUUCGGUGUCAAUGUCGACUAGCUUCCCGACCCGUCUUGAAACACGGACCAAGGAGUCUAACAUGUCUGCAAGUCAAUGGGUUUGUCAAACCUACGGGCGCAAUAAAAGUGAAGGCUGGUUUGGCUGGCUUACACACGAUCCGUUCCUUUGUGAAUGGUGCAGUGUGGUCCCAUCUUGAAUGCUUGUCAUUGAGGUGGAGACAGAGCAGACAUGUUGGGACCCGAAAGAUGGUGAACUAUGCCUGAACAGGAUGAAGCCAGGGGAAACUCUGGUGGAAGUCCGAAGCGGUUCUGACGUGCAAAUCGA